UAGAGCAAAUGGAUGAUGAGAGACUAGUAAGGUGUUUGUGUGGAAUAUUAGGAGUAGCAGUUGGGGGAACAAGUGUGUUAGGAUGGUAAUAAAGAAUGGCUUGGAAACUAGUUGUUGGGCUUUUGAGGUUGAGUGAAGCCUUGUUGAGAGUGAUGGAAGUAGGAUUGUCAGAAAUGGAGAGGGCUUACAAUGUUAUGUAACUAAGUGGACAAGUGAGAUAGACAGAGUGAUCAAGCACAUGGGACUGAGUGAGCCAAGUGUGGAAAUUCUGGGAUGGAGUGAGCCAGGUGUGGAAAAGUGUGGAAAUUGUGGGAUUGAGUGAGCCAUGUGUGGAAAUUGUGUAGAAAAGUGUGGAAAUAGUGUGGAGAAGGUGUGGGAAAAAAAUGUGGAAAUUGUGGGGUUGAGUGAGCCAGGUGUGGACAAGUGAGAUAGACAGAGCGAUGAAGCAUGUGGGGUUGAGUGAGCCAGGUGUGUGCGUCACUUGGGGAUGACUGUGAGCUAACCUGGGACCAAUGGUUGAUGACGCUCACUGAUGGAAUUAGAAGCUGCAUGAAUUGUUUAUGUAGAUUUUAGAAGCUGUCUCAAUUGUUUGUGUAGAUCUGAAGCACUUACUUUGAAUUGAAGGCUUGGACCAUGUAAUAUCUUUGUAAUUCUUCUGUAUCUCUGUCAUAAGUUCCUUAGAUAACUCACUACUGUUUUUGUCUCUAUAUAAUAAUAUGUACAUUUACUCAAACUGCAUUUCCUUUCAGUGUGCAGGUUGGCAGUAAACCUCCCUGAAGGUUCCAGAACUGCUCACCAAGUGUCCAGCCCAGCCUGUCACAAGACUAUGUGACAGUGGACCUUCCACUCAUACUGAAAACAGCUGUGCACUGCCACUCACAGGAAGUGGUGACCACUCUAGAUUGAGUUGUCUUGAAGCUGAGAUGAGUUGGUCGGGUAAUGAGUGACUUGCAUCAAGUGACCGUGAGGUGUUGGACGUGAUAUUGUGUUAUUGCAAGUGUAACCAGUAAUAAUUCACACAGCAAGAAGCCAAGGACCCACCGAGGCUGUCACUUGGAAGAGGUCAUUGUUGUUGCAUCCAGCAUCCCAGCCUGACUGCCUAGACAGGUCCCGCAGGUUGCUGAAUGGCAGAGAUGCAGGCUGCUCCACAGCAAGAUCAGCGUUCGACCGUUUCUCUAGGGGCAAGCGACACCUCCUGGUGGGGGACUUCAAAUCUGCUGUCGCUGCCUUCGAGGUGUGUCUGUUGCUUAGGAGGCAACAGAGUCCCUGGUGGAGCUGUGUGGGGAGCAGGCGCCCGAGUGUGGUGACGCGUACUGCCGCUGUGGCCGUGCAUUGCUGGAGCUGGCACGCAAGGAGGCAGGGGUGCUGGGGCCAGAUCUGGAUGGUGCCAGUAGUCAGGAGGGAAGCACAGGGGAAGAGGAGGACGAGGAGGAAGAGAGUUAAGAGUCACAAGAGGAGGAGGAAGGUGGAAAGAAAGAGGAAGGAGAGGAGGAGGAGGAGGAGGAGGAAGAUGGAGAAGGAAAGGAGAAAGAUAAGAAGGAAGGAAAUGCUGCAGAAGGAGAAGAGCAAUAAGACAUUAGAAUUGACAGAGAAACCAGACAAGGGACUGCAUUUGAAGAAGCACAAGAACCAAGAAAUUACAUCAUUCAAUGAAAUGACAACAUAAUCUAAAAUAGAAAUAAAAAACGUCACAAGACAGAAUAGUGAGCUGCAUGCACUUAUCACAGAGUAUAAAGUCACUCCCUCAGAGGAAAAAGACAAGGAUGGCAUGUCUUCAUGUGAGAACUCAGAAGCUAAAUGUACAGAUACCAAGGGGAAAUUGCUGGGUCAAGUGGCUACACUGACAUCUGAGGUUAGCAGGUUGGAGAGUGAGUGCAGCAGUCUUCAGGUUCAGCUAGACUGUGAGAGGGAUAAGUAUAACAAACUGCUGGGAGAAUCUCUUGCUCAUGAAAAGUUGUCUGAAGAUGUCAUAACUGAACCAAAAGGAGAAACAACAGGAUUGGGAGGAACUGAGCUUUAACAGAAGCUGCAACAACUGCAGGAGGCUCACAGGGUCCUGGAGAGCAGGUUAACUUGCAGCAUGAAGGAGGUGGCUGAGCUAAGUGACAGGAAGUAGCAGCUUAAGCAUGCUGUAGUGCAUGAGGAGACAGAGUCCAUCGGUGUAUGCAUGUUUUUUGCUCAUUUGAAUCAUCUGUAAAAGUGAAGUGGAGGAAGUGUUUACUGUUUACUGUAUGCCAUUUCCUUGGUCUUUUAAUGAAGAAUUUUAUCCUUCUUCAGGUGACUACAUCACCAUCUACCAGUUGCAGCGAGGAGUGAUGAAGCAACAAGCUCGAGAACGCGAGUUAGACCUUGCCAGCCUCCAUCAUGAAUGAGAGGAAAUGAAGCAAAACCACUCUGCAGGAUUUGAUAUCAAAGCUGGUGCAGGAAAAGGAAGCAGAUCAUGACCUUCAGCAGCUCGAGAAGAUAAGCAGCGUCCUUAAGAGUCCAGUUGCUAUCUUUAGCAGUGUUGGAACCAGUGAGUCUGAGACACCCACCACCAGUGGAAAGGUGGCUGACGAGCGCCUCAAGCACUCUGAAAAGGUGGAGCAACAACAAGAAACAGAAAAUUGCAUCCAUCAUUCUUUGCCUGAGGAGGGAAUUGAUGCUCUGUUGACCCUUCACACUGAUGUCCCUCAUGAGGAGGGGAGAAUAUGAAUCCUACAGAACUUGCCCAUAGGAAGACCAAAACUGUUACUGCUGCCACACUGCCACCACUUCCACUGACACCAAAAGCCCAACUGUGCAGAGAAUCCUGGACCUCCGCAAUGAAAUGGAGUCCACCAGUCACCUGGAGCACUUUAGCCUCCAAAAGUUCCAUCCGUGUCCAUUGUGUUUGGGUAAACUUAUCACUGUAUAAGGGGACAAGUAUCAGUGUAUGGUUACUAUAUACUCAUUUGUACUUAAAGAUGUCAUGUCACAUCAUUCUCUCUCUCUCUCUCUCUCUCUCUCUCUCUCUCUCUCUCUCUCUCUCUCUCUCUCUCUCUCUCUCUCUCUCUCUCUCUCUCUCUCUCUCUCUCUCUCUCUCUCUCUCUCUCUCUCUCUUCUCUUUCUUUCUUUCUUUCUUUCUUUCUUUCUUUUGUUGCAUAUGUUACUGCUUUACAUUCCUCCCCACAGUAUUUUUUCAUCUACUUUAUGACUGCAGUAGUUUUAUCAUCCCAGUGUAUGCUGUAUCCACUCUGAAACUGUAAUUCACCAAUCAGCUCAAAUGUGUCUCUGUUUUGAUAAUCAUUAAUUUGUUUCAGCUACACAACCACUCUGAUAAGGGACAAAAUCUACUUCACCAGUCAUCUAUGUCAUACAGUCAUAUAUAUUCAUACAUAUGACAAAAUACUCUUCCUAAGACAUUUCUUAUUUUCUCUUCUCAAGUGACCUGUCCAUCUAUCUAAGGUACCACAUAACAUUUAAAACUUACAAUAUUGUGUUUAAUUCAUGAACACUUUUUUGUCUAUCUAUGGAGACUUGCGUAUAGACUUGAAAUGUAUUGGGAGUUUUCUUUAUCUCUCAUUCUAUACCUAACACCUGUUCCUAAGAAUCCCCAGGUGAUAGCCAUGGUGACUGGCUGGUCUCCUACUGAGUGGCUGGGGUUUUCCAAAAGUGAGGGUUGGUGUUCCAUACCAUACCAUGUGCCCUGUUUGUAUUCCUUCUUUGUCCUCUGUAUUAUAUUCUAUGUAAAGAUGGUGCUGGGGUGGGAUCUACUUCUUAUUCCCUAAAAGUGAUGAGGAGUGACACUGGGCAGCAUUGAUUUGCUCCUUAGAGAUGGCUGGGUUCCUGUGGAUGAGUGGGCCAUGCUGUGCUUUGUCAAGGAUGGUGUUUGGUAUUGUGAUGACUCUUGCCACAAUCAAGUGCCUCCCACAGAGUAGUGGAGUACCUAUGUAUGGUGUUGACCCAAGCUGUCCAGGUCUCAUCCAAUGCCUUAAUAUGAUUUAGAUGAUCAAAAUGGUUUAACUCACCAUUUAAUCAGCUGACUGAUUUGAAUGGAGAAGUAUGUAAUGUGUUGUAGCCUAACCAUCCCUGCCAGCAUGGUCAGAUUCUUGGUAGUAACCUGAAAUGCUCCUAGGUAGUGAGUAUCAUUGCACAUAAUGAUCUUUACUUUGUCAGUAAUUCAAUGAUACUGAAUAUUACUCUACUGGAUUUUGCUCAGCACUGCUUGGUAACUUUUGGCCAUAAUCCCAGGUCUGGAAUGAUAUGAAGCCAUGUUUUUACAUUCCAUAUGAGACAGGCAAGCACUAUGCUUUGCCUGACUGAUACCUGUACUUUACAUUUAUGACCCCAGGUAGUUCAUCACUCUCUCUCUCUCUCUCUCUCUCUCUCUCUCUCUCUCUCUGUUUGGAAUUAUACUGUAUAUUAGGAAAUAUCAUUAAAGAGUGUGUGUGUAAAAAGUGUUUGCAUUAUUGUGCAUUUGAUGUUAUAGCCCCAGGUUCUUAAAGUUUUCUAGUUUCAUGAUUUAUAAAGAUUGCUAUUUUUAAUAAAGUUAUUGAAAUUGUUA